AGUGAACGCUGGCGGUAGGCCUAACACAUGCAAGUCGAACGGCAGCACAGUAAGAGCUUGCUCUUACGGGUGGCGAGUGGCGGACGGGUGAGGAAUACAUCGGAAUCUACUUUUUCGUGGGGGAUAACGUAGGGAAACUUACGCUAAUACCGCAUACGACCUACGGGUGAAAGCAGGGGAUCUUCGGACCUUGCGCGAUUGAAUGAGCCGAUGUCGGAUUAGCUAGUUGGCGGGGUAAAGGCCCACCAAGGCGACGAUCCGUAGCUGGUCUGAGAGGAGGAUCAGCCACACUGGAACUGAGACACGGUCCAGACUCUUAGGGGAGGCAGAAGUGGGGAAUAUUGGAAAAUGGGCGCAAGCUUGAUCAAGCCAUACCGCGUGGGUGAAGAAGGCCUUCGGGUUGUAAAGCCCUUUUGUUGGGAAAGAAAAGCAGCAGGUUAAUACCACGCUGUUCUGACGGUACCCAAAGAAUAAGCACCGGCUAAUUUCGU
rnacentral:rRNA from 1 species